CCCCGAGCUUAACUUGGGAACUGCGUUUUGAACUGGUAAGCUAGAGUAUGUCAGAGGGGGGUAGAAUUNCACGUGUAGCAGUGAAAUGCGUAGAGAUGUGGAGGAAUACCGAUGGCGAAGGCAGCCCCCUGGGAUAAUACUGACGUUCAUGCUCGAAAGCGUGGGUAGCAAACGGGAUUAGAUACCCUGGUAGUCCACGCCCUAAACGAUGUCAAUUAGCUGUUGGGGCACUUGAUGCCUUAGUAGCGAAGCUAACGCGUGAAAUUGACCGCCUGGGGAGUACGGUCGCAAGAUUAAAACUCAAAGGAAUUGACGGGGACCCGCACAAGCGGUGGAUGAUGUGGAUUAAUUCGAUGCAACGCGAAGAACCUUACCUGGUCUUGACAUGUACGGAAUCUUCCAGAGACGGAAGAGUGCCUUCGGGAGCCGUAACACAGGCGCUGCAUGGCUGUCGUCAGCUCGUGUCGUGAGAUGUUGGGUUAGGUCCCGCGACGAGCGCAACCCUUGUCAUUAGUUGCCACCAUUCAGUUGGGCACUCUAAUGAGACUGCCGGUGACAAACCGGAGGAAGGUGGGGAUGACGUCAAGUCCUCAUGGCCCUUAUGACCAGGGCUUCACACGUCAUACAAUGGUCGGUACAGAGGGUAGCCAAGCCGCGAGGUGGAGCCAAUCUCAGAAAACCGAUCGUAGUCCGGAUUGCACUCUGCAACUCGAGUGCAUGAAGUCGGAAUCGCUAGUAAUCGCAGGUCAGCAUACUGCGGUGAAUACGUUCCCGGGUCUUGUACACACCGCCCGUCACACCAUGGGAGUGGGGGAUACCAGAAGUAGGUAGGCUAACCGCAAGGAGGC
rnacentral:rRNA from 1 species